rnacentral:rRNA from 1 species
GUGAACAGCAAUUGGACAUGGGUAAGUCGGUCCUAAGAGAUAGGAGAACUCCGUUCUGAAGUGGGGCCUUCUUGUGGCCCCCUGCUAUCGAAAGGGAAUGGGGUUAAGAUUCCCCAACCGGGACGUGGAUACUGAGCGGCAACGCAAGCAAGAUCGGGGACGUCAGCGAGAGUCCCGGCGAGAGUUCUCUUUUCUCGUUAACAGAGUGGGCUUGCACCCUGGAAUCGCAUUAGGCGGCGAGAGGGUGCAGGCGCUGGGACAGCGGCGCCACUUCGGUGCCGUCCGGUGCGCUCUCGAUGGCCCUUGAAAACCCGAUGGCGUGACUUAUUCUCACCCCCGGCCGUACUCAUAACCGCAUCAGG